rnacentral:rRNA from 1 species
AAACCACCGCUACGGGGUAGGAUAGCCAUGGGAGUUUAACUCCCGGGUAAGGGAGUGUGGCGGACGGCUGAGUAACACGUGGCUAACCUACCCUCGGGACGGGGAUAACCCCGGGAAACUGGGGAUAAUCCCCGAUAGGGAAGGAGUCCUGGAAUGGUUCCUUCCCUAAAGGGCUGUAGGCUAUUUCCCGUUUGUAGCCGCCCGAGGAUGGGGCUACGGCCCAUCAGGCUGUCGGUGGGGUAAAGGCCCACCGGACCUAUAACGGGUAGGGGCCGUGGAAGCGGGAGCCUCCAGUUGGGCACUGAGACAAGGGCCCAGGCCCUACGGGGCGCACCAGGCGCGAAACGUCCCCAAUGCGCGAAAGCGUGAGGGCGCUACCCCGAGUGCCUCCGCAAGGAGGCUUUUCCCCGCUCUAAAAAGGCGGGGGAAUAAGCGGGGGGCAAGUCUGGUGUCAGCCGCCGCGGUAAUACAGCUCCGCGAGUGGUCGGGGUGAUUACUGGGCCUAAAGCGCCUGUAGCCGGCCCACCAAGUCGCCCCUUAAAGUCCCGGCUCAACCGGGGAACUGGGGGCGAUACUUGGUGGGCUAGGGGGCGGGAGAGGCCGGGGGGGUACUCCCGGAGUAGGGGCGAAAUCCUUUAGAUACCGGGAAGACACCAGUUGCCGGAAGCCCCCCCGCUAAAACCCGCCCNACGGUUNANAAGNCAAAAGCCGGAACAACAAACGGGAAUUAAUUACCCCGGUANUUCCCGGCUUUUAACAAUCCGGCCCAGU